CACAGCAGCAAACUGACCAGUCCUGACACAGCUCAGCCCCCUCUCGGAUUUCGCUUGCAAGCCCCAGACUCCUAAGAACAGAACACCAAUGUAUUCAGAAGCACCCCAUGCCUGUGGAGUUGUGUUCAGACUCCAGAGACUGGGGAAAAUGAAGAUCAUCUGGUGAACAGAAUGGGGGCAGGGCUGCCAAGGUGUUAAUGGGCCACUCUAUCUUGAAUGGUCCCUUACAAUAUGUGC